rnacentral:lncRNA from 10 species
GUUUUUGAAUGGAAGUUUCUGAUAACUUUGGAGAUUAUGACAUUAGAAUAAAGGAAAAAAACUUACAGGACUCCUAUGAAGAGCUGAAAUGUUCAUGAAUAUCAAGCAGAACAGGAUUUAGCUGAAUGGACUGAACUAAUAGAAAACUGAAGUAAUAUUUUUUGAAUAUUUUGCUUAAAACAUUGCUGAUCCUUUUUGUUUUCCAGAGUCAAGAAAACUUUUCUUUUGAGCUAUUUACAACUUUUAACAAUUGAGUAAAAUAUACGUCUGUGAACAAAAUUUGGAGCAUAUUUGUUUCUCUACCUGAUUUCUCCAGAACUUGGAAACUAUUUACACUGCACUUGAUGGAUCAGCUGCCACCAUCUAGAUUGAUAAACUGGCUCAUCUGAUAUUGUGGUCACCCACCCAGGAACUGACUCAGUGCCAGAGGAGAGCUUCCACUUCCUAUGAUUUCAUCUCCAGCCCAACCAGUCAGCACUCUUGAUUCACUGGAGAGAAGAAUCUCUCUUCAAAGAGCAGAUCAAGAGAGAUGCUUUAAAACCACAGCAAGUUUUCAGAGGAUGUCCAUUUUAGCGCCAAAAUUUAAAUACGGGGAGGACGCUAUGGUGCCAAAGGCCCCAGAAAGGUGCACUUGAAGUGGGACACUUGGAACCCCAACUGUCAAUGCUGGUGAGUCAGCCUCUGAAAGAGCAGGAUUCAAUUAACCUAUUGACUGUAGAGAUAUGUGAGCAAAGCAGAACUAGAAUAAAUAUUGAGAAAAUGCUAAAACUUAGAGCAUACGGCACUAAGUAUGGUUCAGCUCCACCCGAUGGGUAGGUAGGUCCAGCAGGGUAUCAACAGGGAUAUCUUGGUCAUUUCCUCCUCUUCAGGUGGCACAGAAAACUAGCUGGGAGAAAGAAUAACAGACUCUAAUCCUGAUUAUAGGUGUCAUUUCCACCAACACUCUAACCAAAUGUGUUUUGGAAAAUCUGAGAGGCACAAGAAGUGGGGUGUGCUGAGAGCCUACCAGUCAGAUGUAGCUUCUUAUUCAGUGGACUGAAGCACAAACUGCUAAAGCAAGCCUUCCUGGCUAAACUCAAAUUCAGAAGACCUAAGGGGAAUUUUUAUAUCUGAGAUCUAAGGUUAUCACUCACUAUAUUCCUGAAACAGUUCUCUCAAAGUCCCCGAUGGAAUUGUGAGAAUUAUCUGGACCCCAAGUUGGAUGAGAACUGCAGAAAGCUCUUUGCUAUUAUUAGUCAAGCCAUAGAUGUCUAGAAACACAUGCUUUUUUUUCUGAGUGACAUACUCUGCAAACACCAAGCUUGGUGAGUGAGAGGCAUCUCAGCAGGCACAGCUGUAGUGAUUUCAGAUAGCACAUUGCAGUGUACUUUCUUCAGAUUAUAUUACACAUACAGACACAGACACAUGCAAUUCACAUCAUUCUGUAACAUCUGCAUGAAUCAGAGGAAAAAGGCAAUGCUAUAAUUGAAUAUGAAAUAUAAAACAAUAGGACAUAGAUACAGGGUGCACAAUUUGUGAUUCACAAGUCUGAGUUCUAUUUGUCCUGCAACAAUGUGUUAGGCCAUUCUUGCAUUGUUAUAAAGAGAUAUAUGAGACUGGGUAUUUUAUAAUAAAAAGGGUUUAAUUGGCUCAUGGUUUUGCAGGCUGUAGAAGCAUGAGCCAAUUAAACCUUUUUUCUGGCAUCUGCUUCUGGGGAGGCCUCAAGGAGCUUUCAUUCAUUGCGGAAGGUGAUGCGGGAGGAGGCACAUCAAAUGGUGAAAACAAGAGCAAGAGAGUGUUGGGGGCAGAGGAAGUGCCAUACACUUUUAAACAACCAGAUUUCACAAUAACUCACUCACUAUUGCAAAGACAGCACCAAACCAUGAGAGAUUCACCCCCAUGACCCUAACACCUCCCACCAGGCCCCACCCAAUGUGAAAUUUGGGUAAGGACAAAUAUCCUAACUAUAUCAAACAGUAUAAAUAUUGCAAGUUUCGUAACCAAAGAUCUUAUCAAGAGAGCUACCAGGAGUAUAAUGGAUUAUACUCCUUUAAAUGUGAUUCCUCUGGACUGUGGUCACCAGUGAGGAGGAGCAGGGAAUCUUGCAGUAUGUUGCACUCUGCUAGCAAGGCCCUACUCUGGUUGUGCUGUGGUACAACCCUUUUGCCCUAAUUUUAAACGGUGUCCAUGUUGUCCUUGUCCUGACCUUUGAGUGAGAUUAGUCUCUAUGCUCCCCUUAGAGCAUAGAAAAUACUUUUCCCCAUAGAAAAGUCUUAAACACUGACCUUUGAGUGAGAUUGGUCUCUAUGCUCCCCUCUCUCCCUCUUUCUCUUCUUCACUCUCUUUCCCUUCUUCCCUCCCUGAUCUGUGUCUUUGGUUAUUGAUCUCUAACUGUAUGCUGAUAUGAGCGUUCCCUUUCACCCUCCAACCCUGUUCCCGCUUUCCCUCCUCAUCGUGGGGGUUUAUAGAUGUUUCAAUCUUUCUGUAUUAUUUAUCAUUGCUGUGUAAAAAUUAUCCCAAACUUGGCGGCUUAAAACAACAAUAUCAAUUAUCUCAACGUUUCUGUGGGUCACGAGUCUAGGCAUGGCUUAGCUCCCAGGCUCAGCUGGGAAGGGUCCUUUUUGAUGCUCAUCGUGUGAUUGCUGGCAGGAUUCAUUUCUUUGUAGCUGCUGGACUCAAAGCUCAGUUCCUCAUGAGCUGUUGGCCGAGGUCUGCCUCAGUUUUUAAUAUGUGGACCCCUCUAAAAAGCAUUUUGGAACAGAACAUGGCAGCUUGCUUCAGGAAAGUGAGCAAGCUAUAAAGAAAAAGAGUGCCAGCAAGUGAGAGCGUGCUAGCAAGAUGGAAUCACUGGCUUUUGUAAUCACAUCACAGAAAUUAUAUCCAAUUAAUUUUAGUGUAUUGUAUUCACCAGACACAAGGCAUUAAAUCCAGUUAACACUUAAGAAGAGGGGAUUACACAAGGGUUUGAAUACCAAGCAGUGGAGCCCACUGGGCGCCAUUUCAGAGCUGUCACCCUAGCAUGCUUAGGGUGACGGAGAGGAAGAGCAUUUGUAGAAGCUGGAGGAAAGCAGAAAUUUGGAGCCACAUCAGAAGCUGCCUACCACCCUGUCUCUACGGUUUGCCCAUUCCAGAUCCACAACUAUCCUUUUCUGUCUCUGAUCCAACAUCCUACAGUCUUAUGUUGUCUUUAUCACAAAGUUCUAUACUUACUACACUCUUGGUUUUAACCAUUUGCCUGAUUACCUAAUUUUCUGUCCUGCCCAAUAGCACUAACUAACAUUUAUAUACUGGUGUAUGUACAGAUUAAAAAGCAUUUUUCUUUAAAGAACUGAGUUUCAGGAAGGGACAUGACCAAAAGACAGAAAACUGGUCAUCAGAAAAGUGGAAACUUUGAGACAGUGCAAUGUGCAGUUUUAAGCAUUCAAUGGUCAACCAUUAAGAGCUUUAUGUUUUCCACUUAAAACUACAUUCACUAAAUCAGUCACUGUAGACCUAGGGUAUUAUUUGCAAACUGGAGCAUAUUAUCAUUUGGUUCUUUUAGUAAGUUUAGUAAAUUUAAUGUAGCUGAUGCCUGAUUACUGUAAUACACACAGAAUUUUGAGAGUUGCAUAUUUUAAAUAGAAAACAUAUCACAUUAAUUUUGAAUAUGACCAUAGAAACUAAGUUAAUAUUAGGACUUUUGGCUUAUCAAGCACAGAUUCUGAAAGUGGUUUUCAUGGUUGUGUUUGAUGGCUUUCAUUGACUGCAUAACAAUUAGGAACAUUUUCCUGAAAACUGAUUUUUCUAGUAACCAGAGACUGAAGUGAAUUCAGGUCCAGCCAUCUUCUGUACUUUGAUCUGGCAUUUCUUCCACAGACACAGUUACAGCAACAUACAAAAUCAAUUGGCAGAGAAUGCUUAUUUAUGUCAAAUAUGGAUUUUCCAAGAAAUAGUUUAUGAAAAUACCUUUCAUGUGGAUAAUGACUAGAGGUAAAAAGUGGACAGUCUGAUUCCCAGUAAUUACAGCCUGGUGUUGCUUUAUUCACACGUAAUCUAUUGCUAGGAAACCUAACAUGCCUAAAGCAGGUCAGGAUACAAAUGGUGUCUCGAAAAGGGAGCAAAAUGGGAAAAAAGAAGAGACAGUUAUUUUAUUCUAUCUUGUGUCUUCUCCUCACUAUCACACCAACUGUAUUGCACUUGGAUAUCUUUUCACUUAAAUAAAGGUAUUAAAGUGACAGCUGAUGAACAGUGAGUUUGUAUUCCAGGAGCACUCUUAUAGGUUUAAAUUACAUACAGAUGAAAAAUAGCCCAUAUGGCUUUUGAACAAAAAGAACGGCUGCAAGCCCUAAAAAAUUCUAGUGGAAAAGUUGGCAUGCUAAAAGGUUAAUUAAAAUUCGACUCUGUGAGAUGGAUACUUUUAUUUAUAGAACCUUUGGCUGAUUUUCAGCAGCCAUGUUUUUUUCUAAUUAAAAUAAUAUGAGCAGCUAAUAGCAAUCAGCUUAAAGAACUGAAUAUUUUAGAGAAAGAGAUGAUUCAUAGGUUUUUUAAUAAUCAUUUUACAGUAGGUGUCUCCACUAAAGAGCACAAAAAACAUUUGUAUUCAGCCAUUGUCUAGUUCAAAUGUCAGGAAAUAUUAAGCUGGAAAAAAUGAGGAGCAAAUUAUUUAAACCUGUCUAAAAUAAGUCAUUGAUAUUAUCAUGUAAAUUCGAUAUUUCCCUAAAGGUUCUGGAAUCAUUCUUUGACAUGACAACUCAUAAACUCUGAGAAACUGGACCAUUAGAAGCAUUAUUUUAAAAAUGAGAAUUUUUUUAUAUUUCAUGAACGUAACAUACACAAAUAACGACACUUAAGAGAAACAAAAGUUUGCAUGAAAACAUUAUGUACACAUUCAUAGAGAGAGACAGAUGGAGAUGGAGACAUAGGCAACAAGAAUUAUCAUUAUAUCUUCUGUAGGAUUAAGCAUCCUUUUCCUCCCCUAAAUCACUAAGAAUAACUAAAGAACAAGAUUAACAUCUGUAAAGGAGAAUCAGAAAGCAUGAAUAAAGAGUUAUAUUAAACAGAAGGAAGGAAGGAGGAGGAAAAAGAGGAGGAAGAGCAGGAGAAAGAAAAAUGUGUCAGAAAUAUACACUUCCCAGAUGAGUGUAUACUCCCACUUUGCAAGAAACAACCAAUACACUCCUCAUGCCCCAGAUUUUUUUUUCCUAUUAUUUUUCAAUAAUAAAACUCUUGAAUUUUAACCGGGCAUAUCACAUCUCAGAAUCAAUACAACCUUCUAUGAAGCUAAAAAUGUGCAAUAGCUUGCUUCUGGACAAUGGAAUUAAAGUGGAGGUGUUGUGUGCAUCUAGAAAGUGUCCAUCCCCUUCUCUUUCUCCUUCUCUGCUGACAGGAAUGUAGACAUAUGUGCUCCAGCCAGAGCUGCCUUUCGAGAUCAUGGGUGAUUUUGAGAAAACAGUGUUUGUAAAACUGAGCACUAAAAUGAAAAGAGCCUGUGUCUCUAACAUUGUGGAGAGUCAAACCAGUCCUGUAUUGCUUUUCCUAGACUUAUAUGGUCAGAAAGACAUCUAGGAAGUCCUAGCCAGAGCAAUCAGGCAAGAGAAAUAAAUAAAAGGUGUCAAAAUAGGAAAAGAAGAAGUGAAAUUAUCUCUCUUCACUGACAGUGUGAUUCUAUAGCCAGAAAAUCCUAAAGUCCAGCCAAAAGGCUCCUAGAUCUGAUAAAUGACUUUGGAAAAAUCUCAGGAUACAAGAUCAAUGUACAAAAAUCAGUAGCAUUUCUAUACACUAAUAACAUUCAAGCUGAGAGUCAAAUUGAAAAUGCAAUCCCAUUCACAAUAGCCACAGAAAAAAAUAAAAUACCCAAGAAUACAUCUAACCAAGGAGGCGAAAGAUCUCUACAAGGAGAACUACAAAACACUACUGAAAGAAGUCAGAGGUGACACAAACAAAUGGAAAAAAAUGCCAUGCUCAUGAAUUGGAAGAAUUAAUAUCAUUAAAAUGGCCAUACUGCCCAAAGCAAUCUACAAAUUCAGUGUUAUUCCUAUCAAACUACCAAGGGCAUUUUUCACAGAAUUAGAAAAAAAACCUAUUCUAAAGUUCACAUGGAACCAAAAGAAAGAGCCUGAAUAGCCAAAGUCAUCCUAAACAAAAAGAAAAAACCAUGAGGCAUCAUAUUACCUAACUUCAAACUGGACUAUAAGGCUACAAUAACAAAAACAGCAUGUCUCUGGUACAGAAACAGACACAUAGACCAAUGGAAAAGAUUAGAGAACCCAGAAAUAAAGUUGCCCACUUACAGCCAUCUGAUCUUCAAGAAAGUUGACAAAAAUAAGCAGUGGGAAAAGGACUCCCUAUGUAACAAAUGGUGCUGGAAUAGCUGGCUAGCCGUAUGCAGAAGAAUGAAACUGGACCCCUACCUUUUACCAUAUACAAAAAUUAACUCAAGAUGGACUAAAGAUUUAAAUGCAAACCCCAACCUAUAAAAAUCCUAGAAGAAAACCAAGGAAAUACCAUUCUGGACAUUGGCCUUGGCAAAGAAUUUAUGACCAAGUCCUCAAAAGCAAUUGCAACAAAAACAAAAAAUGACAAGUGGGACCUAAUUAAACUAAAGAGCUCUUGCACAACAAAAGAAACUAUCAACAGAGUAAACAGACAACCUACAACCCAUAGAAUGGGAGAAAAUAUUCGCCAACUAUGCAUCUGACAAAUGUUUAAUGUCUACAAUCUGUAAGAAAAUUAAACUAAUCAACAAGAAAAAACAAACGAACACUUUUCAAAAGAAGACAUACAAGCAGCGAACAAACAUGAAAAAACGCUCAACAUCUAUAAUAUAAAAGAAAUGCAAAUCAAAUCUACAAUGAGUCCCAUAAUCCCAGCACUUUUUGAGGCCGAGUCAGGUGUUUCACCUGAGGUCAGGAGUUCAAGACCAGCCUGGCCAACAUGGUGAAACCCCACCUCUACUAAAAAUACAAAAAAAAAAAAAAAUAGCCGGGCAUCUUGACACACACCUGUAAUCCAGGCUACUCAGGAGGCUGAGGCAGGAGAAUGGCUUGAACCUGGGAGGCUUAAGGCAGAGGUGGAGGUGAAGGUUACAGUGAGCCGAGAUAGUGCCAUUGCAUCCAGCCUGGGCAACAAGAGCAAAACUCCAUCUCAAAAAACAAACAAACAAAAACACACAAAGAGAUAUCAUUUCAUACCAGUCAGAAAAUAUUUUACAUAGUAAAUAUUUUACAUAAUAAAAUAUUAUUUUAUUAUGUAAAAAAUAAUAAUAAUAAUAACAAAUGCUGGUGAGGCUGUAGAGAAACGGGAGUAUUUAUACACCGUAGGAAUGUAAAUACUUCACCCACUGUGGAAAGAAGUAUGAAGAUUUCUCAACGUGCCUAAAAUGGAGCUACUAUUCAACCCAGCAAUGCCAUUAUUGGGUAUAUACUCAAAGGAAAAUAAAUCUCCCCCAAAAGACACAUGAACUUGUAUAUUUAUCCCAUUAUUUGCAAUAGGAAUCAACCUAGGUGCCCAUCAAUGGUGGUUUGGACAAAGAAAAUGUGGUACAUAUACAACAUAGAAUACUACACAGCCAUAAAAAGAGUGACAUGAUGUCUUUUGCAGCAUCAUGGCAUGCAGCUGGAGGCCAUUAUCCUAAGCAAAUCAAUGCAGGAGCAGAAAACCAAAUACCACAUGUUCUCACUCAUAAGUGGGAGCUAAACAUUGACUACACAUGAAUAUAAAGAUGGAAGCAAUGGACAGUGCAUACUACUAAAGGGGAGAGAAAGGGAGGGAGGAAUGAGUUAAAAACUACCGUUUGGAUACUACACUCAUUACCUGGGUGACGGGAUCAUUUGUAUCCCAAACUUUAGCAUCAUGCAAUAUAUCCAUGUAAGAAACCUGCACGUGUAACAUCUGAAUUUAAAAUAAAAGUUGAAAGUAUUUUUUAAAGCAAUAAAUCUUUCUCUCCCUUUUAAAUCCAUGGUUAUUUUGUUUUGUGGUCACUUCAGGCUGAGCCAAAUCCCAAUUAAUACAUGCUUUAGCAUGUGAAUUUACACUACAGAAACAAGUGAUGCAAC